rnacentral:lncRNA from 1 species
CAGGCUAGAUAGAGUUAUCAUAGACCUCCAGUCCUCGAUCAACUCCCUCACUAGGCAGCUCUCUAACCACAACACCAUUAUACUAGGCCUUAGGCAAGAUCUUGCCAGUGCCAACAAGAAGAUCAAGGAAUUAGAGCGCCGCUAAGUUAUCUAGAUUAGACCUUGAGGCAAUGCAUCUUAGUCAUUUAUCUUUAAAUUCGGUUUAGGUUUACUAUUAUCAGUUUGCUAUCAGUCUUUUGUAAUAAAUGCCUCAAGAUCAAUAAAGAGUAUUAUUAUUAUGUCUUGUGUGUCUCUACUUUAUUUUUGUGCAAGAAAGCAGAAAACAAGUAUGGGGGAGAUCCCUCGACAUGCCAAACACACUCCGACUACACCACUCCACGAUUCAGGUACACACUCUGCACACUUUAUUUUACACAUAUAUAUAUUUUGGAUUAUGCAGAUUAUUGUUUCUGACAUGAUAAAAUAAAAAGAUUAAAAUAUUUCUAAUCAUGAUUAAUCUCAAUCUGUGAUAUUUCCUGAAAACUUGCAAUUAUUAUAAAAUCAUUUUAAAACCCUGUGUUACUUAAGUCAAUAUGGAAUAUGUGAUGAUAGAGUAUGAGUUUCUUAUUCUUGAUAUCAUUGUUGCUUGGAGAAUUUAUUUCAAAAUAUUCAAAAUUCUAGCUACCAUCCUCAGUGUUUUAUAUGCCUGAUAAAACUGAAAAUAUUGAUUAUGAUUAUAAAAGCUAUCUACUCUGUAUUGAGUUUGUUCAAAAUGAGUUAGACCCUUGUUGAGAGAUUUAUCAUGCUCCUAAGAUCAAGCCAUUAUUUCAGAAAGAUUCACUCUUCCGAAGUAUUAUUGCAUUAGAGGCAUGGGCUAUGCAAAAAUAAAAAUAUUUCGAGGAAAUAAAAAGGAGCAAGUGCUCGACAACCUCGCAGAAAAAAUGGACAAGUGUCCGGCAGUAGAAUUAGGGGUACCUCGGUAUCCACUUAAAAAAAGAGAGAAAAGAGAAAAAAAUAAUAUCCCAUGGUCCCUCUAAUAAGCAAUAUACCAGCAAGAGUUGACAAAGAUUUUAAUUUCCAAAGUCUUUGAUCUAAGAGUAUGACAUUUCCCUCCUCGGAUCCCGUUUUGAUCAGACAAUAAAUGCAAAGUAAGUAUGCUUGAAAAUUUUUGCAAAAAUAAAACAGCCUCAGUGAGAUAUAUAUAAAAGAUAAUGAGUGAUCUGAGAGAACCUAUGAGGAUAAAAAGGUAUGCUAACUUUCUUUCAAAACAUACAAAAACUCCAAGUGACAGGAUUGAGAAGAAAGGAUCUUUACUCUUGACCAUAAACAUCCCUGACUAUGGUACACAGUGGAAUUUUAACACCCUGCAAUUAUAAAGAGAAUGUUUUAAAUGUUUUACCCCAGAUAUUGUUCUUAACCAUCCUUUUCUCGAGGACGAGUAAAAGCCUAAGUAUGGGGGUAUUUGUUGACGGUUCUUAAGUAUCAAUUUUAAUUAUCAAAUAAACAAGAGAAAGGACCAAUAUGCAACCAACACCUAGAAUUAGGGUUUGAUCUGACAGAAUUCCACGAGUUUUGUUGUUUAUCUGUUUCUGCAGGGGGUUAUCAGGAAAUAAGGAAGAAAGGCCCACAUGUCAGGAUUACAUAGAGAUAUCAACGCACCGCGCGAUUUUCCACCAUCUAGAAGAC